rnacentral:rRNA from 1 species
AACUCGGGGGACUGCUGACUAUAACCAUUUCUCAAAACAGAGGAAGGUUGCGGCAAUAACAGGUCUGUGAUGCCCUCAGAUGUCCCGGGCUGCACACGUGCUACAAUGAGUGGCGCAAUGUGCUAAUGUUUAAGGGAUAAGAGUGUGGUCAGUAGAACGUCGGGAUUUCCCCUGACGUCUCCCCCGCACGAUUAUCAGCCUUCCCUUAACAGGGCGGGCAACCUUUUCAAAAUACUGGUUUGAUGUUAAAGUAUUGAGUCGUUUUUUUUGGAUGGUGGUUUGUUAACCAAUACCAUCCGGCAACUGCUCGCGAGUUUGUGGUUCUGGCGACUCAUGGUGGGGACCGACGUUUGUAAUUUUUUGUCGCGUGUUAACUAGGAAUGCCUUGUACUGUCGAUUC